UACGUAGGAGGCGAGCGUUGUCCGGAAUUACUGGGCGUAAAGGGUGCGUAGGCGGUUCGUUAAGUCUGUUGUGAAAUCCCCGGGCUCAACCUGGGAAUGGCAAUGGAUACUGGCGGGCUAGAGUGUGUCAGAGGAUGGUGGAAUUCCCGGUGUAGCGGUGAAAUGCGUAGAGAUCGGGAGGAACAUCAGUGGCGAAGGCGGCCAUCUGGGACAACACUGACGCUGAAGCACGAAAGCGUGGGGAGCAAACAGG
rnacentral:rRNA from 1 species